UUAGGAUAGUUAGGAAAUUUAAUUUUUGAAAAUAGUAUUAGGUAAUCAUAAACACUCUGUGAAAGGGAAAGAGGGAUAUACACUCAGAUAUUCUUCUUCUCUUCUUAGGACUUUCUUUUUUUUU
rnacentral:lncRNA from 1 species